rnacentral:rRNA from 1 species
CCUACGGGAGGCAGCAGUGGGGAAUAUUGGACAAUGGGCGAAAGCCUGAUCCAGCAAUGCCGCGUGAGUGAUGAAGGCCUUCGGGUCGUAAAGCUCUUUUACCAGGGAUGAUAAUGACAGUACCUGGAGAAUAAGCUCCGGCUAACUCCGUGCCAGCAGCCGCGGUAAUACGGAGGGAGCUAGCGUUGUUCGGAAUUACUGGGCGUAAAGAGUACGUAGGCGGUUAUUCAAGUCAGAGGUGAAAGCCCGGGGCUCAACCCCGGAACUGCCUUUGAAACUAGAUAACUAGAGUCUUGGAGAGGUUAGUGGAAUUCCGAGUGUAGAGGUGAAAUUCGUAGGAUAUUCGGAAGAACACCAGUGGCGAAGGCGACUAACUGGACAAGUACUGAACGCUGAGGUACGAAAGCGUGGGGAGCGAAACAGGAUUAGAAUACCCUGGUAGUCACGCCGUAAACGAUGGAUAACUAGUUGUUCGGUCACUUGGUGACUGAGUGACGCAGCUAACGCAUUAAGUUAUCCGCCUGGGAGUACGGUCGNAAGNUUAAAACGUCAAAUGAAUUGACG